UACUGAACAAAAGAUUAUCUUGACUGCCUUAUCAAAACCAAACCAGGGACUGCCCUAGGGUUUUCUUAUGCUCAAACGCGCAAUCUGCUCACUCCCAUCACCAUACAUGCAUUUUGGAACUCUGGAGUGAUAUUAGUACUGACAUUUCUUCAGCUCCAAGGUUAUGAUAUCCGAGAGUUAUUGCAGGCGUCUUGAAAGGGAGUGAUAUGCAUUAUGGUUCUGAGUUCUCUGAGUUCUUUCAUCAAUCUUAUUAUUUUCUUUUUUAAGAAAAAUGGACUAAACAAACGAAGAAAGAAAGAACGGGGAGCGAAAUUUGUUCUUAAGUGUUUGUAAGUUUGGUGUCAUCUUGCACUUGAAGAUCAUCUAAUUGACAUUAAAUUAAGACAAUGGUUAAAUUUUUAGAAGAUUAUUUUAAAUCUAUAUGAUUCUAAGUUCAUUUUGUAUUA